CGAAGGCACUACCGUGUCUCUAUUCCGCUCAAAUUAGCACUUUUGAGCGCUGGUGAGCGUGUUGAAUGCUCCUUUCUGUCAAACGUACCUAUACAUAAAUCAAGUCAUCGAAACAAGAACACAAAAUUUACUAAAAGAUGAAAAAACGAAACAAAAAAUUAAAAUAGAUGUUUCUUCAAAGAAAAAAAAAAGAGGUAGUGUGGGAAAAAUCUCAAGCUGCGGAACAAAAUGUAAGGGUUAUUUUAUUGCAAUAACAAUGAAGUAAAGUACAACCAAAUGAACAUUGUCAUUUUAUAGUUCAAUGUCUUGUUCCAGAUAUUACACAUCAAAAAGAAAAAAAGAAGAAGAA